UACGUAGGGCGCAAGCGUUGUCCGGAAUUAUUGGGCGUAAAGAGCUCGUAGGCGGUCUGUCGCGUCUGCCGUGAAAACCCGAGGCUUAACCUCGGGCUGGCGGUGGAUACGGGCAGACUAGAGGUAGGUAGGGGAGAACGGAAUUCCCGGUGUAGCGGUGAAAUGCGCAGAUAUCGGGAGGAACACCGGUGGCGAAGGCGGUUCUCUGGGCCUUACCUGACGCUGAGGAGCGAAAGCGUGGGGAGCGAACAGG
rnacentral:rRNA from 1 species